GUGUGCUCCUACCUAGGAAGAGCUGAGCCCCGGGGUUGUGAAGAGAGAUAGCAUUUCUGACCAAAAACCACAAGCACAUCAAGUCAGAGAAACCAAGGAACAAUGGAAUGAUGUUGCUACGACAGGACAAAAGGCCCAGUGUUACAUUUUCCCAGCAGCCUGUGGAUUGAAGAUAUCACCAACUGAUCCUUUCAAGGGUUACUAUGGGAAAGUUUGGCGAGCCUCUGACAUCCAUGGAACUGGUUUAUCUGUGCAGCAAGUGGUACCAGUGCCUUGCCCUUUGAUACUCACUGUUACCACGUAUCUUCUUACCAUAUUACCCUACAGUCCCUUCAGCCAAUAA
rnacentral:lncRNA from 1 species